rnacentral:rRNA from 1 species
CCUACGGGAGGCUGCAGUGAGGAAUUUUCGUCAAUGGGGGCAACCCUGAACGAGCAACGCCGCGUGCAGGAUGAAGGUCUUCGGAUCGUAAACUGCUUUUCUCUGGGACGAGCAAGGACGGUACCAGAGGAAGAAGCCCCGGCUAACUACGUGCCAGCAGCCGCGGUAAUACGUAGGGGGCGAGCGUUGUCCGGAUUUAUUGGGCGUAAAGCGUCCGCAGGCGGUCAACCAAGUUUGGGGUGACAGUUCCCGGCUCAACUGGGAAAGUGCUUCGAAAACUGGUUGACUUGAGGGCUUCAGAGGAAAGCGGAAUUCCGGGUGGAGUGGUGAAAUGCGUAGAUAUCCGGAGGAACACCAAUGGCGUAGGCAGCUUUCUGGGAAGUACCUGACGCUCAGGGACGAAAGCUAGGGGAGCAAACGGGAUUAGAUACCCCGGUAGUC